rnacentral:rRNA from 1 species
UACGGGGGGGGCAAGCGUUGUUCGGAAUUACUGGGCGUAAAGGGCGCGUAGGCGGUUCGCUAAGUUGGAUGUGAAAACUCUGGGCUUAACCCAGAGCCUGCAUCCAAAACUGGCGGACUAGAGUUUUGGAUGGGGAAGCGGAAUUCCUGGUGUAGCAGUGAAAUGCGUAGAUAUCAGGAGGAACACCGGUGGCGAAGGCGGCUUCCUGGACAAAAACUGACGCUGAGGCGCGAAAGCUAGGGGAGCAAACAGG